GGUGGCGGUUAUACUGGGUUUGUCCCACCCGUUCCCAUUCUGAACACGGAAGUGAAAUAAUCCAAGGCCGAUGAUAUUGCCAUUUAGGUGAGAAAGUAGGUAGCCGCCACCA
rnacentral:rRNA from 1 species